rfam:Dipodomys ordii contig_18883, whole genome shotgun sequence.
GGUGGCUCAGUGGUAGAGCGCAUGCCUUGCAUGCUCGAGGCCCUGGGUUCGAUUCCUCAGCACCA